GUGAGUCACAGCAGGCACAGCUCCUCACCCAGCCCAAAUCUCACCCAGUGAGGAGAGCUCGCUGGGCCCUGCACCCAUCCAGCAAUGGUGGGGCAUGCUGGGACAUAGCACAGCAUAUAGAAGGGCAUAUAUGAGAUAUAAGGUGUAUGGGAGCUGCUGAGUCACAGCCUGAACCACUGAUUGAGCACCUGGGGAAAGAACCCGGUUAGCCCUGGGAGCACAGAGACCUUGCGGUCACCGGGACACCGAUGACGCUUCUCUGUGUGAUGGAUGUGUUCACAGAAUUAGGCCCCAUGACACGGAAGUGGAUGCUGCUCCAAUUUUCUUUCAAGAAACACUACCGGAAUCAUCCUUAAGAUGAAAUUUCAUUUUAAAACUGCAUUCUUUCUCUAGCAAUGGGAACAUUAAGCCAUUCCAAUUGGUUUGUCAGCCAUACUGAAGCAGCUGGAAGAGGUUAGAAUAGUGAAACUGGAGUCCACCUACCUGCUGGAAAAGUACAGCUGAAAGAGGCAAUUUCUAGACAACAAAGGGUAAGGAGGUGAGGUGAAGAUACUGUUGUUCUAGUGGCCAGAAGGGUGCUAUCAUCAAGUUAGUAAGAAUAAUGUUUUCCUUAGCUCUCAUGGGACUUCUUUGUCCAUGUGGAUCCAUUUCAAACACUUUUUCCCCUUUAAGCACUCCUUGAUAAUAAAAAAAACUGAUAUAAGCGCUCUUUCAUGGGAAGAAUCUCACUUUGGUCUGUGUAUUUUGUCUUCAGAAAACCAUAGGGCUCAGAGUGGGUACAGAAAGAGCUUAGUACUCAAAAAAUGCAGCCCGCAGCUGAGAGAAACUGCAAGAGCAGGGGUUAAUGGUACUGAGGGCUUCAUGGUUCAGCUGUUUGCAGAUCAGUAAUUAGAAUCCUCUGCUUACCGCAUUGAUCUCUCCCUGAGCA
rnacentral:lncRNA from 1 species